GAAACAGUCACACCAGAUGUAGGAGAAGAGUCACCUUUUCAUUACGAAUUAUCCUUUUUUAUACGAAUUCUCCAAUGGUGGACACUAUUACUGAGGACAUUGAUGUAAACAGAAAGUCAUAAAUGCCAACACUACAUAGUUAUAAAUGUAUUGAUUGCAAGAGAUUAUUGAUGUACAGUAAUUGCUGUUCAACUAGACAUGGACACACAUGCAGGAUACUGUCUCUAAACAGCUUGCCGACAACCUCAUAGAUGUAUUCAAGGGAUACUGAUUAGAUCAUUUGCUAAUGAAAUGGUUUGCCGGAAGGAGCUAACAGAGUUUGAAAAGGAGAUCAUCGUGGGCUGAACAAAGUCAUGUUUCCAGGGUGACGCUGGACUGGUAUACAGAAAAUAUGGUAUCCUAUAUAGACUGGCCAGCUGAGUCCAGAUCAUAACCCCAUUAAGAACCUCUGGGACAAAUUAGAGGACAGAUGCAUUCUAGGCCGACUCAACCUUCUUCAUUGUCACAGUUGGUCACUGUACUUAAAACAGAAAGGCCAAAUAUACUUUUUGCUGUUGUCCAGAAACUUGUGGACAAUUUGUCUGCAGUAAUCACUGCACGUGGUGGAUCUACAAAGUAAUGACAUCAAUUAAAUUUUGUUGAUCUA